AGUUGCUACGAAAGGGCACUCUAAUGAGACUGCCGGUGACAAACCGGAGGAAGGUGGGGAUGACGUCAAGUCCUCAUGGCCCUUAUGGGUAGGGCUUCACACGUCAUACAAUGGUGCAUACAGAAGGCUGCCAACCCGCGAGGGGGAGCUAAUCCCAGAAAGUGCAUCGUAAUCCGGAUUGUAGUCUGCAACUCGACUACAUGAAGUUGGAAUCGCUAGUAAUCGCGGAUCAGCAUGUCGCGGUGAAUACNUUCCCGGGUCUUGUACACACCGCCCGUCACACCAUGGGAGCGGGUUUUACCAGAAGUAGGUAGCUUAACCGCAAGGAGGGCGCUUACCACGGUAGGAUUCGUGACUGGGGUGAAGUCGUAACAAGGUAGCCGUAUCGGA
rnacentral:rRNA from 1 species